GUUCGGUCCCUAUCCGGCGUGGGCGCAGGAUAUUUGAGAGGAGCUGACCUUAGUACGAGAGGACCGGGUUGGACGAACCACUGGUGUAUCGGUUGUACUACCAAGUGCAUAGCCGAGUAGCCAAGUUUGGACGGGAUAAACGCUGAAGGCAUCUAAGCGUGAAGCCCCCCUCAAGAUAAGAUAUCCCAUUGCAUUAAGCAAGUAAGACCCCUUGAAGACGACAAGGUAGAUAGGACAGAGGUGGAAGUGCAGUAAUGUAUGGAGCUGACUGUUACUAAUAGGUCGAGGGCUUGACCUAAA
rnacentral:rRNA from 1 species